rnacentral:lncRNA from 1 species
CCCAAAAAUUAAAAUACAAAAAUUUCUCCUCAUCAUGACCUAACUUUUCAGCCAUCUUUAAGGAUAAGGUUGUGAUGAAUAUAUUUAAAACAAAUAAAUUCUGAAACCCAAUAAAAUAUUUUGUUGUUGAUGUUUAUUUUACAGAAAAAUACAAAUUUUAAUCUUAUAUAUAUUUUACGUGAUUCUUGAGGUGAUUCAUGAGGUGCGCUUCUUGAGCGAAUGGGAGGAUGUAUGGCUAAUGGGACACCUAUUUCUUAUGUUCCACCCAAAUUUGCUUAAGUAAAUAAGAAUAUUAAUUUAUUUUCUGACAGUUACUGUAAUGUUUUAUAAUUUCAAAUCAUCAUCGAUCUUUCUGAUCUGGGGGGCGUUGAAAUUGAAGGUGUGAAAAUG